GUGCUCACCUCAGCAGCAUAUAUACUAAAAUUGGAAUGAUACAGAGAAGAUUGGCAUGGCCCCUGCGCAAGCAUGACAUGCAAAUUCAUGAAGUGUUCCAUAUUUAU
ensembl:snRNA U6 U6 spliceosomal RNA